rnacentral:tRNA from 1 species
GGCUGGGUAGCUCAGUUGGUACGAGCGUCCGCCUGAAAAGCGGAAGGUCGCCGGUUCGAUCCCGGCCCCAGCCACC